AGCCUCUGAGCAGGGGGCCUGAAGAAUGGCUCUUCUGUUUAUAACACACCCAACGGAGUCUGGGGACAUCGUGAUAAUGGGCACAAAACUUGUGGCCUCUCUACAAAUAAAUUCCCUACAUGU